AUUGAACGCUGGCGGCAGGCCUAACACAUGCAAGUCGAACGAGUGGCGGACGGGUGAGUAAUGUCUGGGAAACUGCCUGAUGGAGGGGGAUAACUACUGGAAACGGUAGCUAAUACCGCAUACCAUCAGAUGUGCCCAGAUGGGCUUAGCUAGUUGGUGGGGUAACGGCUCACCAAGGCGACGAUCCCUAGCUGGUCUGAGAGGAUGACCAGCCACCACUGAAAUGGGACACGGUUCCGACGUCCACGGGAGGGAGCAGUGGGGAAUAUUACAACAUGGGCGCAAGCCUGAGAGAGCCCAGGCGGGUGUAUAAAGAAGGCCUUCGGGUUGUAAAGUACUUUCAGCGGGGAGGCGUUACCCGCAGAAGAAGCACCGGCUAACUCCGUGCCAGCAGCCGCGGUAAUUC
rnacentral:rRNA from 1 species